AUUGAACGCUGGCGGCAGGCCUAACACAUGCAAGUCGAGCGGAUGAAGGGAGCUUGCUCCUGGAUUCAGCGGCGGACGGGUGAGUAAUGCCUAGGAAUCUGCCUGGUAGUGGGGGAUAACGUCCGGAAACGGGCGCUAAUACCGCAUACGUCCUGAGGGAGAAAGUGGGGGAUCUUCGGACCUCACGCUAUCAGAUGAGCCUAGGUCGGAUUAGCUAGUUGGUGGGGUAAAGGCCUACCAAGGCGACGAUCCGUAACUGGUCUGAGAGGAUGAUCAGUCACCCUGGAACUGAGACACGGUCCAGACUCCUACGGGAGGGCGCAGUGGGGAAUAUUGGACCAUGGGCGAAAGCCUGAUCCAGCCAUGCCGCGUGUGUGAAGAAGGUCUUCGGAUUGUAAAGCACUUUAAGUUGGGAGGAAGGGCAGUAAGUUAAUACCUUGCUGUUUUGACGUUACCAACAGAAUAAGCACCGGCUAACUUCGUG
rnacentral:rRNA from 1 species